GUGUAUGUGUGUGUUACGUGAUAUGGAGAAAAAGAGGGAAGAACGCCCUCUAAAACCUAACCACAAAUUCAGGAAAUUACUGGAGCAAUUGAUGGUUGAUCUAGUGCAUGAACAUCAAUCUUUGAUCACCUCUACUUGCUAAGCAUAAGGACGAAAAUCUUGUCAAUUGACUCAAGCAUGGAUGGCUAUCGGGUCAAGAGGAAGCAAGGAGGCAAGCAUGAACAUAGAUGCUAAAGGUAAGUGAUUUCCGGAAUCACUUCUUAUUUUAUAAAUGAAGUUUGGUAUGUUGUAUAUAGGGAACCAUGUAAGGAGUUACGGGUAAGGGUAAGUACCAAGUUAAGUUCAUAUGAACUUCGUCUAUCCUUAAUGUAAAUUAAGAUAAUAGUUUCAUCACGUUAAUGGAAUGUUCAUGAUGUUAAUGGAAUGUUCAUCAUGUUACUGAAAUGUUCAUCAUGUUACUGAAAUGUUCAUCAUGUUACUGAAAUGUUUAUCAUGUUAAUGGAAUGUUCAUCAUGUUAAUAGAAUAUUCAUCAUGUUAAUGAAAUGUUCAUCAUGUUAAUGGAAUGUUCAUCAUGUUAAUAGAACGUUCAUCAUGUUAAUGGAACGUUCACCAUGUUAAUCGAAUGUUCAUCAUGUUAAUGAAAUGUUCAUCAUAUUAAUGGAAUGUUCAUCACGUUAAUGGAAUGUUCAACAUGUUAAUGGAACGUUCAUCAUGUUAAUGGAAUGUUCAUCAUGUUUGUUGGAAGUUAGUAAGGCUCAACUUUAGAUGCUUGCGACGUUCAAAGUUUGAUAUUUGAAUACGAAUAAGUGAAUGUGACUUGUAUGCAUGUAUGUAGAUAUGGAACUGUAGCGUGUGUAAGUAGUGUGAACUUGUAUGUACGCACAUAUGAAUGGGAUACGUAUGAAUGUACUUAGAUAUAUGAAUGUGUAUACACGUGUUGUAAUCUAAUGAUUGUAGAUCACUGGUAUACGUAUAUGUGAAGAUGUGGGCUUUCAACAUGUUUUAGAUUACGUAUUCCUAACCAUGUUACUAUUGAGAAUGAAAUGAAGUGUAGGUAUGGGAACGCCGGAUUCUUGAGGAAUUGAUGUCGGACUCGAGUAAAUAAAAUUGAGAGGAUGGUUCAAUGGAAUACCUUACAUAAUUAGAAUGCGAUAUAGCCUUUUAAGUAUAUGUUUUAAAUUAUAUAUGAUGUCACCAUGUACUAACGUGUUGGUUAUAUAUGGUGACCGCAGGUUAGUCAGAUAUUCAUGAUGGACAAGUGAACGAGGGUCGAGUUGAAGAUCAUGCAUUGUACGGGAAAGCGGUCACGUUGUUUGUAACUAUUUGUUAACAUAGUUACAUUAAAUAAAUGAUUAAUGAUGUAUUUAUGUUAAAAGGGUUAACCUAAACGGUAUUCAAGUGUGUUAGAGCAGUUAAAAGAAAGAAAUUUUACGGUUCUUU
rnacentral:lncRNA from 1 species